AUGCUCUCUGCUUUUUGCUCAGUGCUUGUGCUAGUCCUGCUACUAAUUAUCAGAGGGACUAAUGGAGACUCAGUGACCCAGGCAGAAGGCACAGUUACCCUCCUGGAGGGGGCAUCUCUGACUCUGAACUGCACUUACCAGACUGUUUAUUCAGCUGUCCUUUACUGGUAUGUUCAGUACCAAAACAGCGCACUUGAGGUCCUCCUGAAAAGCUCAUCUGAAAGCCAGGAGAUGGACAAGAGAGGUUUUCAGGCCAAUCAUGUUAAAAGCAAUAGCUCCUUCCACUUGAAGAAGCUCUCCGUUCAAAUAUCAGACUCAGCUGUGUACUACUGUGUCCUGGCAGACACAGUGAGAGGAACCACAGGGGGAGCUGCACACAAACCCUGA